CUCUGGUCAGGCAAGCUCAACGAUUGUCAUUCAAAAUGUCACAGUUUCCGACUUCGCAAAGUACCGCUGCGUGGCUACUGGAAGAAAUAAAACCUUUGAGAUGAGUUUCACUGUGGUUGCAACUUGGGAUCACAAAUGGUUUAUUAUCUACAUAGCUGGAGGAACAUCUGCUGCUGUUUUACUGUUAGUUUUCCUACUCAUUUUCUGCAUCACCACUGCUUAUCGCAAAAAGAAGAAGAGGAAGAGGAUCACAGAGGCCUUAUUUAAUGCUUUGUAUUGUACUCAGGAUGAGCCUGGUAACAAUUAUGCAGAACACAAUUAUCACACCACAUGGGACAUAGAAGGAGGAAAAGAAGAGUCAUCACUCAGGCCGGCACAGGAGAUUUAUGUGAACUGCAUAACCCUAAGAAAUGACAAUUAGCUUCUUUCUUGUGAAUGACGUAACCCCAGUUCAGUCCAUGUAUUUGCAUGUUGGACUUGAUUUGUUUUGCACAGGUGAGCUGCAGAAGGUUAAACCAGAAGGUUAAACUGGCUGCCAAGCAUGGCCCAGGCUGCCCUGGCCAGACAGCACAGGUACCCAAGCCAGUCAGGGUGCAUCUGCAUUAUGAGACUGUCUGCAGCACUAACGCACCCUUUGAUUCAUAUGUACAAGUGAAGAUUAUUGGUACUUCUAAAAUUUAAACAUUUUUACCCUGUAAGUGCACUUACAGGUAAUAAUUUUAGAACAACUAUGCAGAACAAAGCAGUAUAUGUUUAAAUUACAUUCAUUUCGUUGGAGAAAAAAAUGUUUGAGAAGUCUGUGUGGCAAGGUGAGAAAGAAAAUGUGUUCAACGUUCUCUGUAUUCAUGACUUUCAAAUCUUAAAAUUGAGAGCAUUAUAGAAUAAAAAAAUGUCCAUGAUUUUCCGCA
rnacentral:lncRNA from 1 species